ensembl:lncRNA
CACAAAUAAGCUGCAUUCUGCCUCACACAGUGGCUGGCUGUGGGGAGGCAAGGAAGGGGGAGAAAGAAAGAAGGGGACGAGUGGGGCAGGGAGGUUUCUGUGCCACUUUCGUCUCUGCGAGUGUCAGUCCCAGAUAACGUGCUGCUUCUUUUGAAUUGUAGAGGUGCAGCAGUGACUAUAGAUCCUGUUUGCUUUUUGUAGCCACCUCUUCUGUAUGAAAAUCCUCUCCAUGCUGCAGAAGGCACUGUCAAGAUUAUUUUGCAUUUGUGAGUGCACAAAUCAAGCUUCUGCGUGUAACCAGGAACUCUCCCCUCCCCCUGGCUUUAUGGAUGUGGGAUUUCACUUGCAGCAACGGCUCAUGCUCUCCAUGGGAGCCUCUGUCACGUUUUUUCUCUGUGCCAAUCCGUCCCCCUGUGGAGAGAGUUUAUAGCAACCAACAAUGAAUGGAGAGGAUUGAGGCAGAUGUGAAUAAAGGGCUAGUGAACAUUUUUAGCUCAAAAGAAUGAGCUGUGAUCACUUGGUUCCUAAGCAGGCGGAAUUGCAGCGUCUGAAGAAGCGGUGGUGUGUAGUCAACUGGAGUGAAUCUGUACAUUCUCCAGGCCCGGUCUUGUGAGACUUUGUCCCACUGUUGUUCCCACUCAGAGCUGAGCAGAAACCACGCACGUCUGAAUAACGGGGGCCCUUUCUGCCUGUUGUAAUCCUGGAUUGUUACAGUCUAGGGGCCAGCCAUGCUGUCACCGUCACAAAUUGAUUUAACCAUCAAUUGCAGUGGUCAUUAAAGCUGCUAGAAGUCCCAGCCAAGCUGAUGAAUUGCAGCUGAAUGUGAAAUGAGCCUCCAAGACUGUUUCCCACCAUCUCAUAUCAAAGCCUAUUGUGUCUCUCCAAAGUAAAGGGUCGGAGGUUCAGCCUGGAGUUCAACAAUGGGCUCAGUCAGAAGAUAGAGCCCCCUUCACCCCAGCAUUCCCAAUUACAGUUUUCUUUCCAUGCCUUAUUGUGCAGUAUUUGCAUCCAACUAAUACGUUGAAUUAUUGACAUACCCCAGUGUCAAUGGAGCUUUUGAAAGAUUUAUCCCCCAAAUAUAUGGAAUCCCAAGCAUCUGGUGGCUCCCCAGUAUUGACAAUGAAAUGAUUCCCUGGUUUUCCUCCUCUGGCAGCCUAUUCGACUUAUCUGAUCUGAAUGGCUAUCUUUACUCAGCAGAGAUUAGCUGCUUCCAGGCCUCACACACAAAAAGCCCCAAGUCUGCUUCUGGAAGUCUUUUUCCUUCAGAUGUAUUGUUCCCUGCACUUGAUUUGCUACUCAUUUUUAUAUAGCACUUAAAUCUGCUAGACUUGCGCUUAGUGCCUGUUAGUAACAGGAGAAAAAGAAUGAAAAAUUAUCCAAUGUACUCCAAUUCCCCUCUCUUUUUUUUCCUUUUGUCUUUUUUUUUUUUUUUUGUCCUGACAUAUCUGCAUGAUUGAUACAGUCUUCUUGCAUUUUUGGCUUGCUACUAAGCUACACAUGGUACAGGCUACCAGAUGAAAUCGUAUCCCUUGUGCUCGGGGGGAGCAUUUGCACGCUGGGCACACACAAGCUGUUUUCCUGCGCAGACUGUCUUGUCAGAGAGUCCCAUCCCUGUGGGUGAGGUACUCUGGGGUGCAGAAUCUGAAGUAAGACACUGCAACUGUGAUUGCAUAUAUGCAAAGUCUGGGAAGGUUCCUGCUGCACACGUGGGCAGAAAAAGAAGUUAGAAAAGAAGGGUGGAGCAUUCAGUAAAGAGGUCACAGGUCCAGACAAUCCCAAUGUAUUAAUAAUGAGCCAGCAGACAGCUUUAGGUCUGUAUUUGCCCAGGCUGUGUUUACUACAGACUGAGUGUCUCCACUAAAUCUGUGUGGAAAUGCUGUUAGCAGAGGACUAACUGCUACCACUGGCCUGUGUUUCUCUGUGUCUCCCGUGAAGGUCAUAGGGUGCCUGUUCUUGAAAGCUUUGCUAUCUCAACGACAGAAUGAACAGAUGAAUAAAUAUAAUACAUAUACAUAUAAAAGGCUCUUUAAAUCUGGUUGUGUCACAGAAGAGCAGUGCUUUUGUUGACCUCUUUCAUCUUUCUGAACUCUGGACUAUUUCACUCCAUGUAGCAGUGAACUUUCCUUAAUGGAAAAUAAUAUCAUUGCUGCUUUAAUUCUUUUUUGGCCUUACGUGUUCCAAGUGAAGCAUCUGAAAAGUCCAUCAGUCCAUGCUAAUAUCAGAUUGUCUCCACAAAAAGCUAGACUGAAUGAAUAGGAGUUUGAAAAAAUAGAAUGGAAAUCUGUCCAAUUAAUGGCCUGGGUAGUGAUUUCAUGUCUUGUGACAAGUGAGAUUACAAAAAACUCAAAAAACUCAAAUAAACAAAACAAAAGAACAAACAACAACAACAAAAACAAUUCUCCACUGUGACAAGCUUUUCACAAGAAUUUUCACAGGGUUGGGUUUUCUGUUUUGUUUUGUUUUGUGUGUUUUAGGUUUUGUUUGUUUGUUUGUUUGUUUGUUUGUUUUUGAAAAAGCCAAUGACAAAUCGACAAUAAUAUGGCCAACAGAAGACUCACCUGAGUUGGAGACUCCCAGGUUCAAAUUUCCCCUGUAAUUUUUCAUGGCACAGAUCAUCCACCAGAUGAUGUGAAACCACUGUAUGUUGAUGAUUUUAUUUCUUUCAGUCUCUUUUCUGAGUCAACAAAUAUUAAUUGGGUCAGAGGCACAAACCUGAAGCUCUCACAAACUCACUUUCUACUGUAAGCACUAGGCAAGGAAGCCAGGUACAAGACUGGGGAAGCAUCACCCUGCCUGUGCAAGCUGAGUGCCAAUAAUCAGGGAGAGGACAAUGGAAGGUGAAAUUAAAAACUAGCAGCUCCUUGUCAUGCCACUCUCUGUACAUACAGGAAGUAUUCAACUAUCACAGUGCAAAGCCUGAAUAAUAAGAGGAGUAGAGCACAGAUUGUAGUCAAUCCACCUAUUUUAUGCAAACUUCAGUAAUAUGGGAAGGUACAAAUGAGUCUGCUUAUAAAUUCAGAUAUGUUGAAACAAACUUUUCCUCUGAGACUGUUCUUGUUUCUCAGCUGAGCUACUGGACAUAUCCUUCUAUGUGGUUUCUAAUAGAGAUGAAAUCAGUAAUAUUGGAGCUACCAUCAUGUAAUUUUCUCAGUUCAUUUGAACCCUGGAAUGUGAUGGUGGGGGAUCACAUAAACAAUCUUAGCACACUAUUACUGUCUAGCUCCAAGGAAGCAAGUCUGCAUCAAGAUUUUACUUUAAUGGGAAUAAAGUUCCCUUCAGCUCUUCUAUUGAAAUUGUCCUUGCACAAUCUUCUGUGCAAAUCAAACCUAAGAACAAUGUCAUAACUUCCCAAGACUCAAAGCCUGUUUGCUUUCUCAAAGCCUAGAAACCUGUCCAUUGCAUGGUUACUUGCUGAAUUGAGCUCUACGAGGAAGGACCUUGGUGUCUUGGUGGGCAACCAGUUGGCCACAAGCCAGCAAGUAUGACCUUGUCGUCAAGAAGGCCAGUGAUAUCCUGGGGUUCAUUAAAAAGAGAGUAGUCAGCAGGUCAAGAGAGGUGAUCCUCCCCCUCUUGUCUGCCCUGGUGAGGCCACAUCUGGGGUACUGUGUCCAGAUCUGGGCUCCCCAGUUCAAAAAAGACUGGAAACUUCUAGAGAGAGUUCAGCAAAGUGCCGUAAAGAAGAUUUGGGUUCUGGAGCAUCUCCCUUAUAAGGCAGGGCUGAGAGACCUUGGGCUGUUCAUCAUGGAGAAAACUUCAGUGAAGAAUAAAGAUGUUUAUGUUACACAGAGUUAUCUUCCAUUGACAUAAAUCAAUCUUGACCUGGCAAAGUUUGUAUUCAUAGACAUAUCUAAGUAUCUUGCCAGUAUUGGGUUCCCUGGUAGAAUAAGAUACAUUUUACCCUACAGAAUGGGAUCCUCCACAUCCAUUGAUGACACAUUUUAUUUGCAAUAUUCAGCUAUUGCAAUGAACAGAUUAAGCUGCCAUAGAAGGUGAUUUCUUCUUUGAGCACUGGAGUGGAAGGAAUUCUCUCUCCCACAGCUUUAAGUCCUCGGGACCCUAAGCCUCUUCAUCACAGUAAAGUCCAGGACUUCCCAGUGCCUCUGAUGGUACUGCUUCUCAGCACUGAGCCACAGAGAGUGCAGGCAGCCAUCUAGGCACAUCCUGCUUAGCUAACAUGCACACACAGGCAUGUGUUCUCAUGAUGACAGCCCCCAUUUAGGCCCUUCAUUCUCCUGGCUAGGCACUUUCACAAGACAUUAAAAAACCUGAAGACUUCACAUUCAUAUGUGAAGUGUAUUAAAAGGUUCAAGAGUGAUUAGAAGGUAGGCAGCACACAUUUAGUGUAAUCAACUAUGUAUCUUCUGGUCUAAUGAUAAGCAAGGUAAAAACUCAGGAGACUUUAGCGGAAGAGUUGUUGGGAUGCAAGAGGCUAGCUUUAGAAGUACUGAAAUGUAGAGAUACUGAAUUUGUAUUUUGAUAAUGCUUGAUUUUAGCCGUGGGACACUGAAAACAAGAUACUUUCUCCUCAAGGCAGACAAUUAUUUUGGAAAUGAAACUCAGAUUAGUAGCUAUUUAUGCUAUUAACUUGCAUAUGAUUAACUUACUAACUUCUGUAGUAUCCCUUUUCUGACCUAGAUUCACUUCAUACUGUAGAAUGCAGAUUAAAUUGUACAAAAUAAUAUAUUGGUCAUCUGUGUUUCUGUGAUCAACAGAUGCAAGUAAGAUAUUAAUAACAGUAAUAAUGUCGUAUUAAAGAAUAA